rnacentral:rRNA from 1 species
AGCGAACGCUGGCGGCAGGCCUAACACAUGCAAGUCGAACGGCAGCACAGUAAGAGCGUGGGCUGACGGGGGGGGAGUGGCGGACGGGGGAGGAAUACAUCGGGAUCUACUCUUUCGGAGGGGAUCAGGUAGGGGAGGCUACGCUAAGACCGCAUACGACCUACGGUGGAAGGGAGGGGAUCUUCGGACCGGGCGGGAGUGAAUGAGCGGAUGUCCGAGUAGCUAGUUGGGGGGGUAAAGGCCCACCCAGGCGACGAUGCGUAGCUCGUCUGAGAGGCUGGUCAGCGACCCUGGAACUGAGCCACGGUCCAGACUCCUGCGGGAGGACGCAGUCGGGAAUAUUGGGCAAUGGGCGCGAGCCUGAUCCAGCCAUCCCGCGUCUGUGACGACGGCGUUCGGGUUGUAAAGCCCUUUUGUUGGUAGAGAACAGCAGCAGCUUAAUACGCCGCUGUACUGACGGUACCCGAAGAAUAAGCACCGGCUAACUUCGUG